GAUGAACGCUGGCGGCGUGCCUAAUACAUGCAAGUCGAGCGAACGGACGAGAAGCUUGCUUCUCUGAUGUUAGCGGCGGACGGGUGAGUAACACGUGGAUAACCUACCUAUAAGACUGGGAUAACUUCGGGAAACCGGAGCUAAUAGCGGAUAAUAUUUUGAACCGCAUGGUUCAAAAGUGAAAGACGGUCUUGGUGUCACUUAUAGAUGGAUCCGCGCUGCAUUAGCUAGUUGGUAAGGUAACGGCUUACCAAGGCAACGAUGCAUAACCGACCUGAGAGGGUGGUCGGCCACACUGGAACUGGGACACCGUCCAGACUCCUACGGGAGGCAGCAGUAGCGAAUCUUCCGCAAUAGGCGGAAGCCUGACGGAGCAACGCCGCGUGAGUGAUGAAGGUCUUCGGAUCGUAAAACUCUGUUAUUAGGGAAGAACAUCUGUGUAAGUAACUGUGCACAUCUUGACGGUACCUAAUCAGAAAGCCCCGGCUAACUACGUG
rnacentral:rRNA from 1 species